rfam:Onchocerca volvulus assembly O_volvulus_Cameroon_v3 genomic scaffold, OVOC_OM4
GCUCGUUCGUCUACCCUGUGGUACCGAGUUGUGUCUGAGCAUCAGCAAACACAAUCGGUCACUGGGUAAAGGACCUUGCUC